UGCACACACAUACACGCACACUCACACUUGCCCUGCUCCGCUGACUCACCGGCCUCGGGGCCCAGCACAGCCUGCAGACUGGCCGUGUCACCCCCACAGCACCGAGGGCCGCUGAGACCCUGCGCCGCCGAGCAUCCUCCCAGGAGGGUGGGAGAGAAUGUAUGUCAGCUGCCUCUGCUGGGCUCUCCUGUCAGGCACCCGAGACGCGCAUUUGCUGACGCACCCGAGCAGUAAGUGGCCUCUGCAGUUUUGUCUCAGGUUGCUGAGCUGUCCUGUGACAAAUGGCCUUAAGUGCAGCAAUUAAACCUCGAAAUAGCCUGCUGCAUGUUGCCACUGCUGAUUCCACAGCUCCAGCUGGGCAUAUAACGUCCUCUGCCAUUGAGCCCGGAACAAACAAAAUGCUCUGCAUUAUCAUCUUCGUCCUCAGCACUAAAAUUUGGAGCCAUGAGUCACAGUUGAGAUUUUCAGAGAGGUCUUGGGAGAUUCAUCAUGAAGUCAUUUUAAAUGUCAUCCUGGGAAAAUUAAGAGUGUGUCUUAUCAGCAUCCCUGAGCAUGAGAUAAUCAGGAAACUAUGAGGAAAGAUAAAGCAAAGCCAAGAACUGAAGACAUACAGAAAAAGCGUGGGAAUGCCUCUUGGAGAAAUUAAUGUAAAUGCUGUGAAGAAGUGAAGUAUGAACAAGCCUCCCACCAUCUAGACCAUCAGGCAACUAUAUCAUCCAGUUGCUUUCCGAGAUUGGAGGUUACUUUCCUGCUUUUUUGUUCACUCAGUUUUUUUUCUGCACAUUUUUUUUCACAGUUUAGUUUUUUCUUUUAUU